GUAGCCAUUCAUUAUUCUAACCCAUAUUCAAUGCUCUUGGAGUGUGAAUAUACUCAGUACAUGCUAUUUCAUUAAAGGCAUUACUUCUUUUCGUUACCAUAAUCACUAACAGUUUAUUUGUUUAUGCUGGUUAAGACAAGUACAUGUCCAGAAUAUAAUAAAUAACCGAUUGAAAACCCCAGGGGUCUAGUGAAUCAUCUGAAAGAAGCAUGUGCUUUAUUGAUAGUGUAUCUUUUAAAUUGAGACCUACUUCAUGUACACCAAGAAGUUAGACAUCCGUACAUCAAAUCAAUGUCUUGACAUUGAGUUGACUCCUCCCAUUUUUGUGAAAAGAAUUGUUCUUCCAUAAUUUGUAUGAUACCUUGUGGAGCACAAGCAGCAUAGUCUUUUGCUUCUCCAAUCACAAAUGUUGCAUAUCCAAGAAUGCAAAUGAUUGUUUUUCAAAAGGAAAUUAAAAACCAAGAUAUUGUUAAUGGGUUUGAAAAUUUCAUGUUUAUUAUUUGCAAUCAUUAGUCAUUCCGGCGGAUUAUUUCAUCUUAGUCACUGCAUGGUGUUAUUAUCUACUUUGGAGGUACUUCUUUUCAUUGGAGUUCAACAACCCCCAUUCCCAUGCUUUCUUUUUGGUUUAUUGUGAUUCUUUUUUAGUUUGAAGGGAAUUAAAAUAUUUAUCAAACAAAAAUAGGGUAGAGGUUCCCUUUUAUGAUGAGAAACUGAAAUUGGAUGUUGUGUUUUUGGUGAAAUUAUUUUUAGCAGGUGUUUUAUAAUGGUUGAACUGGAGAGCCAAUGUGGAAAUUGAUCUGAGGUUUUCAAAACUUGGGGUGCUUUUUUUUUUCAACUAAAGUGUCCGAUCCAAGUUAUCUCAUCUAUCUGUUGACACAUUCUCUUUUCUUGGCGUUUUUGUCAGAUAAAAGGUUUACCAUUCACUUUGCUGAAGUUAUUUUGAUACUGGAAAUGCAACCCUCUUUCAUUGCACUGUCUCGUCGGCCUCUGUCCCUGCUUUAAGAAUCCAAACGGUCUGGUGAAAAGAGUCACUCUAUCAAUUGUCAUUGUUUUCUCAUAUGAGUUUCACAAAUUUGUCCAAGAUUUGGGUUUAUGUUAUUUAGAAAACUUUUCUUUUCCAAUCCAGUCAACUCUUUUUGACGCGACAUUGUUGGGUCAUAAAAGUGUGAGUUAAAUUGUGUUGAAUAAAAUCACUAGCCAUGCUUCUUUGGGAGUACUGGUGGAUUUCCCCUGUUUACUUGUGUUUUAUGUGAUUUCAUAUCUAAGGGCUUCCCGAAUUGUGGAUAGUUUCAAUACUCGAAAAAAUUGGAAGUAGGGUAUGUUGGGUGUGAAACAGAUAGCAUUACGUAAUUGCAGGUAAAGUGGUUCACAAUUUGACUUUUCGCGCUGGAUUGGUAUGGAGAAGCUCUGGAGUACGAGUUUUAUCACAUAAGCAUAGUAUCUGUUGGAAAGGUAACAUUGCACAAGAAGAAUGUUGAGUGUGAAUGUGUGUUAUGAGAUGAGUUGGAUUUGAGUGACUCCUUUCUAUUACAUUUUUUCUUUUCU
rnacentral:telomerase_RNA from 1 species